UACGUAGGGUGCAAGCGUUGCCCGGAUUUAUUGGGCGUAAAGGGCGCGCAGGCGGCUACGCACGUCCGUUGUGAAAUCGCUCGGCUCAACUGGGCGGGGUCGGCGGAUACGGCGUAGCUGGAGCAAGCUAGGGGGCAAUGGAAUUCCCGGUGUAGUGGUGGAAUGCGUAGAUAUCGGGAGGAACACCAGUGGCGAAGGCGGCUGCCUGGAGCUUUGCUGACGCUGAGGCGCGAAAGCGUGGGGAGCGAUCCGG
rnacentral:rRNA from 1 species